AAGGAAACAUAAAGAGAAAGAAAAUGAGAGAGGGAGAGGGAGACCGAGAGGAAGAUUGAGAAGAAGAGGGCAUUGUCAUCACCAUUGUCGUCCCUGUUGUCGUCCCGUCGUCGUCGCCAUCGGUAAGUGGUUUAGUUUAGUUAUUGUUUUGUUUUAGUUAAUUAGUUUUAGUAUUUAGAUUUCAAAUUUGUUUUAGGUGUUAGAUUUUAGAUUUCUUUAGUAUUUAGAUUUUGAAUUAGUUGUAAGUUUUAGUAAUGAAAUUUAAUUUCAAGUGUUGUUAGAAUUUUGAAUUAGUUGUAGGUUUUAGAAAUUUGAAUUUGAAGUGUUGAAGUUGAGAUUGAAGUGUUGAAGUUGAGGUUGAAGUGUUGAAGUUGAGUUUGAAUUUAAAAUUUUCAAUUUGAAUUUAGGAAUUAAAUGAAGUUAUUUUUUUUAAAAAAAAAUAGAGGAUCUCCCGACGCAUGGUUCCUAGACAUCUCUCGAUGCUAUAUUGACAACAUCUUCGACGUUCAUACAACGUCGGAAGAUGUCUAGAAACCCUCAACGCACAACAUUGUGCAUCGGAGUUCCUCUCCCGAUACAUUUUCCUCACUUGUGUUCCGACGUAUAUUAGUGCGUCAGAAAAGCCUUUUCUGACGCUUUUUAUAUAUCUCCCAAUGAUUUUAUGCAUCGAGAGAGUCCUCAUUUCUUGUAGUGUUAGACAAAGAGCUUCAAUGUGGUAGAGGGGAAAGGCAUGACACCUUUAGGUGCUUUCAUCAAAGGGAGGAUUGAGGUUCUGAUUAUGGCGCUAAGGUUAACUGCCAUCUUCUUCUUAAUGCAAUAAAUCAUCAUUGUGCACUCUAGUGGGAUGGUGUUGUUGUCAACCAGGCAGGCGGUUUCGUUUUCAAGUCUUAGGUCUUAAUUCUUAACAACCUUUGAGUAUUGAUGCUCUACCCCAACCCUCAUCCAAAACGAUAACUAACACAAUGGUUUGGAAGUUUUUGUGAAACAUCAUCUAUACUUUUUCUUUAAUGGUCGAUGAAAAAAAAGUCAGGAAAAUGGUAUUUCUGACCAUUUUAAGUGUUACCAAAAUAUCACAUUUGGUGUAGUAUGGUAUUGUUUUGAAUAUUUUUGUAAAAUAGUGGAUCAAGAAGUUUUACUAAGAUAAAGUUUCAUGUUGGACAAGAGGAUAGUGGAUGGGAAUUAAGUUGAAUGGUCCACUUUUUUUUUAAAUCCUUUAAGGUUUUAUGAAAACCUUUCACAAUACCUUUUCAUAAUCAUUUUGUAAAAAUAAUAUCAAAUCAUUUAAAUAUACCGAAAAAUUAUUUCAUUUCGAAUAAACCUUUCUUUAUGCUUAAAAAAUCAUUUCAUUUUGUCAAGGAUCCCGAAUCGUUCUCUACGCUUGGUCUCAUUACCUCGCGUUUAGACUACUGUAUCAACAUCUGAGAACAUACAAAUUCGUCUUUGUUGCUAUACCGCUAAGCUUUAUACGCUCAUUUCAAUGCAUAAGUCAGCUUCUUAUUACCAUGUAGUUUGUACACUCCAUGGUGGCCUUCACUCUUUAUGUGCACACAAAAGUUAGCAUCAUCUCAAAGAAACAUAGUAUUGAAAUCAUAGUCAUCAAAUCAAGCUUUAAUAUUAUAAAUAAUGCUUGAAAACAUAACUUUUCGUAGAAAUCUUUCUGAAACAUUCUCAUCUGAAUUCUUCUUUCAAAUCAGUAAAGAGAAAUCGUAAUAAAGUUUCUUAACAUAAAUUCUUUUGACUGAAAAGCACUCACCAAACUUCACUAAAGAAGUCCUUCUCACAACCAUCUUUUCGCGUGGCUAAACCAACAACACUUUAACAUUUCAACAAAACUCUCGUCAUCCCCUCCUUAGUUACCUAAAUUCUCCUAUUUUAUAGAUCCCUUAUACUAACUUAGUCAUGCAAAUCCUUAAUAUUUAACCUAGUCAUGCUCAAAUCCUUAAUCUUACAUGUUAACCCAUGUCAAAUCAGAUUUGACAUUUUCUUUACAAACCUUGCUCCCCGCCUAACCCAAACCGUGAAUAAAUUCAACCACUUAACAUUUCUCGUGAAUAACCUUAUCGCUUGAUUAUAUUUUUAUUAUAAGAAACGUUCCACCUGAACUAACCAACUUUUACUCGCAUAAAACUCUUAUCACGAACUUAAACUCCAAGGCUUCCUCGUAGACUUCUUCUCCACGAAACACUUGGUUCUUCUCGCGAAGACCACCCAAAACUCCUAGUCUAACACUCAAAACUUUCAUUUCUUAACUUACGCAAAGACUUUUUCGCUUCUUAUCUGUAACGACCCAACUUUUUACCUAAGUCGAGGUCAUUAACUUUUGACAAAAGACCUUGGUUAAUUAAAAUUUAAAACCUCAAAAGAACAAAAUUUAUUUUGUUUGUUUGGGCCCCAGUUUUAAAUUACUAAAAUUCACAUGAAAAUUUAAAACUAAAAAGUUUCAAAUCUUUGAAUACUUUAAAACUUCAAAAUUUUCUAAACAGUCUCACGUUCGAAUACAAAUAAUACUAUAAAUCACUAAGCGGAAGCAAAAUUUUAAAGUGUCCCCUGUGGCGGUCACGCUUCCUUCCUGCCCCUCGCCGGUUUGCUGCCUUUAUUACCUUUGCCUGAAAAAUUAAACAUAAGGAGGGUGAGUAUAAAAAUACCCAGUAAGAGACCCUCUACUGGUCCCGUCAGGGGAAAAUAAAUUGUUAACAUUCUAUUGGGACACCCUGUACAGUCGCAGUCUUGUGAUCCCGUAGGAUGCACAUUUCAGUCUAACGCCCCGAGGGACGUACAUUUCAGUCUAGUGUUCUGCAGAAACACAUAUCAGUCUAAUGCUCCGAAGGUCGCAUAAAAAUUGGUGAUCCCGUAGGACACCUACAAGGCAUACAUCCCAAUAAAACUAACAAUUUUUCCCCUCAAUCCAUUCUAACCAUCUUUACGGUAAUUUAUGACAUCUUUCAGUUACUUCAAAAUAUAAAGUUCUUUCACUCAACAUUCUAACAGUCAACCUAUCUCACUUAAGUUCGAAGGUCGUUGAUAACAUUUUAAUACAUCUGUCAAGUAAACAACAAAGUCACAACACCCCUCAUUUUUACCAGCGCAAACCACAGUUCAGUAUAAUCCACAUUCAACCGAAACAAAUUCACUAGUUCACAUCCAAAUCUUUAUACAGCACAAUCUAUUAAUAUCAUCAUGUACACAUAAGCAUAAUUUCAGUCAUUCACAUGUAUACUUUCGGCAAUCCACAUCAAUUCACACAUCAAUGUAUUUAUAUAUAUGUUUCCAGUCAAAUACAACAUACACUAAACAUUUAGUCUGCAACCAAACGUGUACAUCUUAAUCAUCAUCCAUACAGUCCAACACAACUCAAAAACUUUAGGUGAGUCCAGUAGAAAGUCCCUUACCUCAAAGUUAGGGAAGCUCCCUUAAUCAACUAUCGUCCACGAAACAAUCCAAAUAAGGGCAAACGAAAUCGAAAUCAAAAUUCACAAAUUGGUUGUGAAUUUAAGUGAUCCAAGGUUACCUUUCACACCUUCAAGAAUAAUUUAUCAAAUUAGUCAAUUAACCCAUCCGUAACGUUUGAACACCUUGAAAACAUCACAACCCAUACUUAAAUUGUUUUGAAAACGACUACAAUUUCAUAACUUCAAUCUUACCAACAAUACUUCGACGGAUCUCAGUAAAAAUAGGGGCAGCGGCAAUCGAUUCUAAACAAAAACCAUCGUGCAAACAGAUUAGAGUGUACGUCGGUUUGUGAAUCGCGGUUAGAAGAAAAAACACGUUGCUGGAAGAAGAGGAAACGCGCGGCUAGAAGGAGGCGUGCGCGCUGCCUCAAAAUCGAUCGACGAUCUGACGCGGCGACU
rnacentral:lncRNA from 1 species